GGACAUGAGGUGACCUGGCUGUGACAAGCCACUCUACUGAUCACCAGUGUUUAUUCAACUGAUCCUUCUGGCUUGCUGGGUGCCCCUUUCUCCUCCACAUUUUCAUGGCUGUCCUUCUGAAAACAAAGUCCUGAGCUGAAAAGGACGUUCAGUAUAUUUUCCCCUUAACACUGAAGAAAUUUCCAGGCUGAUAUCUUUAGAGAAGAAUACAUUUUUAGUUCAUCUGACUCUCGUAGAAUUGUAAAAUGGCACUCAAAAUAAGAUCCGGGAAUAAGAAAUCCUUUUCCUUGCAGAAAUAUGUCUAU
rnacentral:snRNA from 1 species